rnacentral:rRNA from 1 species
AGAGUUUGAUCCUGGCUCAGGAUGAACGCUAGCGGCAGGCUUAAUACAUGCAAGUCGAGGGGCAGCAUGAGUAGCAAUACUUGAUGGCGACCGGCGCACGGGUGCGUAACGCGUAUGCAAUCUACCUUUAACAGAGAGAUAGCCCCGAGAAAUCGGGAUUAAUAUCACAUAAAAUUCAUUUGUGGCAUCACAGGUGAAUCAAAGCUGAGGCGGUUAAAGAUGAGCAUGCGUGACAUUAGCUAGUUGGUGAGGUAACGGCUCACCAAGGCGACGAUGUCUAGGGGUUCUGAGAGGAUGAUCCCCCACACUGGUACUGAGACACGGACCAGACUCCUACGGGAGGCAGCAGUAAGGAAUAUUGGUCAAUGGGCGCGAGCCUGAACCAGCCAUGCCGCGUGCAGGAAGACGGCCUUAUGGGUUGUAAACUGCUUUUGUCGGGGAAUAAACCUGUCUACGUGUAGACAGCUGAAGGUACCCGAAGAAUAAGCAUCGGCUAACUCCGUGCCAGCAGCCGCGGUAAUACGGAGGAUGCAAGCGUUAUCCGGAUUCAUUGGGUUUAAAGGGUGCGCAGGCGGAAUGAUAAGUCAGUGGUGAAAUUCAACGGCUCAACUGUUGACCUGCCAUUGAUACUGUCAAUCUAGAGUAUAGUUGAAGUGGGCGGAAUGUGUCAUGUAGCGGUGAAAUGCUUAGAUAUGACACAGAACACCGAUCGCGAAGGCAGCUCACUAAGCUAAAACUGACGCUCAUGCACGAAAGCGUGGGGAUCAGACAGGAUUAGAUACCCUGGUAGUCCACGCCGUAAACGAUGAUUACUCGAUGUUGGCGAUACACAGUCAGCGUCUGAACGAAAGUAUUAAGUAAUCCACCUGGGGAGUACGUUCGCAAGGAUGAAACUCCAAGGAAUUGACGG